rfam:Phialocephala scopiformis strain CBS 120377 unplaced genomic scaffold LY89scaffold_2, whole genome shotgun sequence.
GCCCGGCUGGCACAAUUGGUUAGCGCGUGGGCCUUUUAAAGACGUUAAUUGUAUCUUCAUGGUGCAGUUAUUCUGCUUAUGAGAGCCCAAGGUUGAGAGUUCGAGCCUCUCGUCGGGCG